rnacentral:lncRNA from 1 species
GAGGCCUCCCCGUUCGCCUCCCAGAGGCCGCCACUUUCUUCAGGGCUAUCAGAUGAAGGCAGCAACGAAAACACCACCACAAGACCAACUUCAGGCUGGAGCUGAUGAUGCCACACAGGUAUAAUAUUAGGCAGAAACCCAAUAUAAAAAGAAAAGCAGAGUUGUUGUAGAUUCAUCGAGGGUUGGCGACCUGGUUCCAAUGAGCCAUCUCCCUGUUCCGACAGGGGCUUCCUGGAGCUCCUGCAACCCCAGGCAUUAGUUCCGGUGCAGUUCUAGGAUCAGAUCAAUUCACUCGACAACAAGAGAAACAAAUGGAGAUUCCUACACAAAGACUUUCAAGCACAAAGAAAUCCUGCUGCCUGUAAAGCGGAGCUGCCUCAGCCCUUGAUGAACGACAGAAAAUACCACCUACUGCCAGACCUCAACGCCUCACAAAACUCUCACCCACCUACUGCUUUUAGCUCACAUUCCAGGAAUUCAGAUGAAGUGAAGUGCUCUCAUGGGGACCAGGCAUGGUUAUGCCAGUCCACUGCCCUGCAAGCCUCAAGGGAAGCCAACUGCCCUUCAGCAAGUCACACCUGCCUUGGUGGAGGCCUUGAUUGGAAGUGCCACACGCUACAUGUCCAGUCCUGAGCGGGAGAAUCGGUGUAGGGACGUUCUGGGGAUGCCAGCUGUGGCCAGAUCAGGUCCAACUACAGAAGAAUAAUGAAGACUCCACCUGAGGGCUGGAAAAACAAAACCUCAAGUGUGAGGCAGCCAACCUGUUACCUCGAGGGACUGUUCCGCAGCACAGCGGGGCCAUGGGAACAGCAGCAGACACCCCG